UACGUAGGUGGCAAGCGUUGUCCGGAUUUACUGGGCGUAAAGAGCGCGCAGGCGGCUGGUCAAGUCCGAUGUGAAAUCUCCCGGCUUAACUGGGAAACUGCAUCGGAAACUGAUCGGCUUGAAGGUGGGAGAGGGUAGUGGAAUUCCUGGUGUAGCGGUGAAAUGCGUAGAUAUCAGGAGGAACACCUGCGGUGUAGACGGCUUUCUGGACCAUUGCUGACGCUGAGACACGAAAGCGUGGGUAGCAAACAGG
rnacentral:rRNA from 1 species